rnacentral:rRNA from 1 species
CCUACGGGAGGCUGCAGUGGGGAAUAUUGCGCAAUGGGCGAAAGCCUGACGCAGCGACGCCGCGUGAGGGAUGAAGGUCUUCGGAUCGUAAACCUCUGUCAGCAGGGAAGAACGGUCACUGUGCUAAUCAGCAGUGAAUUGACGGUACCUGCAAAGGAAGCACCGGCUAACUCCGUGCCAGCCGCCGCGGUAAUACGGAGGGUGCGAGCGUUAAUCGGAAUUACUGGGCGUAAAGCGCUCGUAGGCGGUAUGUCAAGUCAAGGGUGAAAUCCCCGCGCUCAACGUGGGAACUGCCUUUGAAACUGGCAAACUGGAGUGUGUGAGAGGAUAGUGGAAUUCCAGGUGUAGGAGUGAAAUCCGUAGAUAUCUGGAGGAACAUCAGUGGCGAAGGCGACUAUCUGGCACAUAACUGACGCUGAGGAGCGAAAGCGUGGGUAGCAAACAGGAUUAGAUACCCCUGUAGUC